CCUACAGCACAGAGCUCACUUCAACAGUCCAAACUUUACGAAACAUUGGCUAACAAAAUGUCUAUUACGUCCCGUACGAUUUGAUAACCGACCUCAACUCAUACCUAUCGUAGACUUUUUACGACCUACACGUGUCAAAGAUCGAGAAGAACUACUACUACUGUUGAAUAAAAGGGUAAAACAGGAGGAUGUCGGCCUGAUGUCAAGAUGAACCUGUCAGAAGACUUGAGGACAUGUCAGGAGAGAAGGAGGAAUGGCUUAUCCUCAGUUAAACUCAUGGAGGCCAGGUGGAGAGCAGGACGCAGAGGAGAGGAGCGGAGCCUGGCCAGCCACCGACAGGAUGACAGAAAAAAAACAGACAGACAGACAGAGAGAGGACUGGACUUGUUUUAGGCUCCUACCGAAGAGUCUGGUUAAGGUCUCCUCCUUUUCAAUGGCACACAAUUAAAACACAUCUUUCCAGGUGACCACACACUCUCACACAGUGUAUGCACUCAUUGCUGUGGAGAUGCAGCGAGCCAAACUGAUGUCGAAUGAAAAAGCCCAGAGAGAUGGCAGGCCAGAAUGAGCGUGAGAGAGAGAGGGGGGAGAAAUAGAGAGAGAGAGAGAGAGAGCGAGAGAGAGAGGGAUCAGCAUUAUACUUGCUCUGAGUGUCACUGAUGACUCAAAGCACCUCUCCCCCCGACCCUGGUUUCUCUGUCCUAACUCAUUACUUUACUGCCACACUUAUUCCCAACACUUGCAUUUGUUUCUACUCUAAGGGUUUUUCACCUUCCUCACAGACAUGAUUCAUGAAUAUAAAUAUUGUCGGGGAUUUCCAUAAAUACUCUUCACAGUUUACUCACACACACUGCUUCUUAUUUCUGCAAAAGCGUAUAAGCAACAGUGUGCUUGUCACGAUACAAUAUUUUUAAACUUACUUAUACUAUUCUACUAAAAGUCUAACAAUAUCGUUACCUGUGUCAAUACCAAGGCAACCAAAAUAUUUGUUUUGUUUUAAUGACAAAAAAAUGCAGGCAAACUCCUGCACACGGUCCAUAUUGCACAAAUACAUUGGCAAUGUCUUGGUAUGGGAACAUUGCCAACGUGCAAUUUAGACAACUCUCUCUCUCUCUCUCUCUUUCUCUCUCUCUCUCUCGCUCUCUCUCUCUCUCUCUCUCUCAGUUCUAUCAAUCAUAAAAAUAACAGAUUGUAUGGUUUUUACACACGUGGUAUCGGAUCAUGGAAGUACC